UGGGGAAUAUUGCACAAUGGAGGGAACUCUGAUGCAGCAACGCCGCGUGCGGGAUGACGGCCUUCGGGUUGUAAACCGCUUUCAGCCAUGACGAAGCUUUUGUGACGGUAGUGGUAGAAGAAGCACCGGCUAACUACGUGCCAGCAGCCGCGGUGAUACGUAGGGUGCGAGCGUUGUCCGGAAUUAUUGGGCGUAAAGAGCUUGUAGGCGGUUUGUCGCGUCGAUAGUGUAAACACGCAGCUUAACUGUGUGCCUGCUGUCGAUACGGGCUGACUAGAGGAGGGUAGGGGAGAAUGGAAUUCCCGGUGGAGCGGUGGAAUGCGCAGAUAUCGGGAAGAACACCAGUGGCGAAGGCGGUUCUCUGGACCUUUCCUGACGCUGAGAAGCGAAAGAGUGGGUAGCAAGCAGG
rnacentral:rRNA from 1 species